CCCUUAGAUGUUCUGGGCAGCACGCGCGCUACAAUGGUCUUCGCAAACGGAUGCAUUCUCGAAGGAGAAUGCCAAUCUUGGAAUCUAUGCCUUGGUCGGGACAGUUGCUUGCAAUUUUUCGACUCGAACCAGGAAUUCCUUGUAAUCGUGAUUCAUCACAUCACGAUGAAUACGUCCCUGCCCUUUGUACACACCGCCCGUCGCUCCUACCGAUUGAGUGCUCAGGUGAAUAAUUCGGACUGCAGCAAUGUUUGGAUCCCGAACGUUGCAGCGGAAAGUUUAGUGAACCUUAUCACUUAGAGGUAGGAGAAGUCGUAACA
rnacentral:rRNA from 1 species